UCAUAAACUCACACAUUGCUUCUACAAGAAUCCACAAUUAGGGAUGUAAAAAUGGGCCGAGUUCAACGGGCCGACCCGCAUCCCGUGUGACUUAAUCUAAAAAAACACCUGCAGCAGCAGCUGUUGUGUGUUUAAUUUUGGUACUCUUUCUGCCAGACAGACUUCCAUUCCACUGCCUGCCAUCCAUUUUCUCUCUCUAGCGAAAUUUGGGAAACCAGAGACCAGACCCGUCGUGUUUCUCCUCCACCCACGUCGCUGGCCAGGAACACGAAGGCAGUGCAGCCCAUUCACCACGUCGCGUUUCUCCUCCACCGUGACAUCCACCACGUCGCUGACCAGAAACACGAAGGCAGUGCACGGAGAACGCAGAGCCACCAUCCAACUGCGAUUUGCGGACGAUUCCGACGGCCACGACUACCACGAAGACAGUUGCUGCUGUUAACAGGGAUGGCAAAAUAGUCAGGCCUGACAGGCCGGCCCGCCAAUCCGACUGAAAAAGCAUGAAUCAGGCCAAGAAUUUUAGUCCACUGAUCCAUGACAACCCGGUCUGUCAAGUCCGCUGGCCCGUCGGGCCAGGCCACGGGCUAAAACGGACCAGCCCGCGGGCCGUAUAAGUUAAUGAAUUAAAAAAAAACACGUGCAGUGUAGCAGAGGAGGUGGGUGGAGUUUUGAAGUCUCUUCUCUACUCUGCCACUGCCAGACUUAUUCCUUCAUUCCUCUCACACUCUCUUCUCCUCCUCCUCCACCACCCGCGUUUUGGGAAACCAGAAGAGAGCACCCUCGUUUCUCCUCCACCCACGUCGCUGGCCAAGAAACACGAAGGCAGAGUGCAGGCCAUUCACGGCGUCUCCUUUCUCCUCCACCGUGACAUCCACCACGUCGCUGGCAGGGGCAGCAGCGCCACCAUCGGACUGCGAUUGACGAACGAUUUCGACCGCCACGACCACCACGAACACAGCUUAAAAGAUGAAGGCCGCUACCGCCAGGUACGUUGAUACUGCUGGAAUCGCCGCUAAUAGAGGAGCCGCCGAGAGAGGCGCCGCCGUUUUGACUACCAUGGCCAUGAGAGGAGGAAGGAAGAAUUUGAAGAGGGCUACAGAGGAAAAACAUGUUACGCUUCAAGACGGGCAAAGCAUCAUGCAGGUGGUGUCUUUACGAGGCUCUAAUAUCAUUGAGGUCAAGGAUGCAUUUGGCAACAAAUCACUAGCUCUGUUCCCUGCUAAAUUUCGGAAAAGCGUGUGGAUUAAACUAGGACAUUGGCAUCAGAAAUGCGGGCAAGGCCACCACAAAAAAGUUCAUCACUUCAUCUACUGAUGGGAUAUUUUUCACCAAGCCAAGUAAUAAGAGGUUCUGACUUAUGUUGAAUAAGGUGCUCACGGUUGAGAAAAUCAUUAAAGAGAAUUAAAAUGUUUGUUGAAGCUGGAAGGAUCAGGAAUGGAGGAGUUCUGUCAGAAUUUGAGAUGUAAUAAGGCAUUCACAUGAAGACUUGAAGUGAUUUUCUUUUUCUUCCUGACUUUUUUUUUUUUUGUAUCAGAAGCAAUUUAUCUCCAUUAUUCAAUUUUUGUAUACAAUGUCUGUAACAUGUACUCUGUUUAUAAUAAUCGUAAUGUAAUGAUUUUGGUGUAUAAAAAGUUUAGUAUCUGUA